rnacentral:rRNA from 1 species
GUGGGGAAUCUUGCGCAAUGGGCGAAAGCCUGACGCAGCCAUGCCGCGUGAAUGAUGAAGGUCUUAGGAUUGUAAAAUUCUUUCACCGGGGACGAUAAUGACGGUACCCGGAGAAGAAGCUCCGGCUAACUUCGUGCCAGCAGCCGCGGUAAUACGAAGGGUGCUAGCGUUGCUCGGAAUUACUGGGCGUAAAGGGCGCGUAGGCGGACAGCUUAGUCAGAGGUGAAAGCCCAGGGCUCAACCUUGGAAUUGCCUUUGAUACUGGCUGUCUUGAGUUUGGGAGAGGUGAGUGGAACUCCGAGUGUAGAGGUGAAAUUCGUAGAUAUUCGGAAGAACACCAGUGGCGAAGGCGACUCACUGGCCCAAUACUGACGCUGAGGCGCGAAAGCGUGGGGAGCAAACAGGAUUAGAAACCCGGGUAGUCC